rnacentral:lncRNA from 1 species
UUUGGAAUGGCCAUGUGUAUGCUGUCACUGUAUGUUUAAAGUAUGUGAUCUGUCUUUUCAUUUGUUAUUUUACAGGGGUGACAGGAGACUGCUUGGAGUCUCAGAAGAGACUCUGAACUUUGGACUUUUAAACAUGCUGAGACUGACAGACUCUGGGAACCUGAAGUCCAACUUCAGGUUGGACUGAAUGCAUUUUUGCAUUAAGAUAGAGAGCUUCAAGUCUAUGGGACCAGAAAGUGAAAUGUGGUAGUUUGAAUAAAAAUGGCCCUGAAGGCUUAUUUAUAUAGAUUUGAAUGCUUAAUCACCAGGGAGUGGCAUUCUUAAAAAGGAUUAGCAGAUGUGGCCUUUUUGGAAGAAGUGUGGCACUUGGGGUGAGCUUUGAGUUUUAAAAGCCCAAGCCAGGCCCAAUGGCACCUUUUUCCGGGGCCUUCAGAUCUGGAUGUCUCAAUUUCUCCAACACCAUGUCUGCCUGCAUGCAGACAGGCAUGCCUGCCAUGAUGAUAGCAGACUAAACCACUGAGACUGUAAGCAGGCUCUAAUUACACUUUCUUUUAUAAGAGUUGCCUUGGCCAUGGUGUCUUUUUACAGCAACAGAGCAGUGACUAAGGCUGACCCUGUCUCAAAAAGCCAAAACAAAUAAAUAAAAUGCUAACCAUGCCACCUCCCAUAUCUUCCCAGCCCUGGUAAUAUAACAGCAGAGUCCUGACAGCAUGUGGUCCCUGAACACUUCUCACCCCAUCCUCCUUCUUACCAUCCAACCUUCUGUCUGUCUUUAAAAAGCAAAGUUGUGUCUGGUGUGGUUAUCCCAAUACACUCUAAAGUGGAAGAAUCAAAAGCUCCAGGCCAGCCUGGAGUACCUGUGGUCAGCCUAAGCUACAUGGUGAAGUCUAGGACACAGGCUGGACGACCUAUUAAGACUCUGCCUCAAUGAAUCAUUUUUAGGAAGAAUGAAUGAAAACAGACACCUAUUUUGUCUCAAAACUGUGUCUAAAGUAUCUAGGAAGGAGCUUGGCAUAGAUAUGGCAAGCUCAUUCUUGAAUAAGUCAGUGCUUGUCAACCUUCCCAAUGCUGCAAUCCUUUAAAAUACAGUUCCUCAUAUGGUGACCUCCAACCAUAACAUUACUUUUGUUGCUACCUCAUAACUGUAAUGUUGCUACUAUUAUGAAGUGUCAUGUAAAUAUCUGUGUUUUCUGAUCAUCUUAGGUGAUCCUGUAAAAGGGUCAAUCGAACCCAAAGAGGUCUUGACCCAAAGGUUGAAAACCAAUGAGCUGAAUAUUGAAAUUAACCAAGUUCCCCGUGUUCCAUGGGACUUCAGUCACACCGGUCUCUCCUGAUUUCUCCCAGUCCUGGGUCUUCAGCUGGCAAGCAAAUGCACAUUUUCUUUGUAGAUCAGACAGGCAAUUCUCAUCCUGACUGGCUAUCCCACCAGCCUGUUUCCUCUACAAUAAAGAGGACCUGCCACCCAAACAGGAAAUGCAACACUCGCUCUGCUCUACUCCCAAAUGAGUCAUUCCAUCUACAUCCCACAGACUCACCAUAGCAACCACUGGUCCUGAGUGCAUGUAUUUCACCAGGCCAGUAAAGAAGGGGCGGUCCUUCAGGUCAGUGUAGUGCUCCUUGAGAAGGUCCUCUGAAGCCUGUUACAGAACAUAUGGUGAGGGGUUGGGGAUUUAGCUCAGUGGUAAAGUGCUUGCCUAGCAAGCCCAAGGCCCUGGGUUCGGUCCUCAGCUCCGG